AGUUGUUAUGCAAUUUGAUGGCCAAAUCAAAACAUCACCAGAGGAUCGCUUUGUGAACUGAUAAAACAAUCAUUCAAUCGAAAGUAAAGUUUACCGAACAAUAACGUUACAAUGUCAUAUUCUACCGCUACCUUGCUUCGAUAUCCGCUUGUGUUUGGUACCAUUUUGGCAGGAUUCAUAUAUGCAUUUACUAACAGAGAUAAAUUCAUGACCGAUUUGGAUGCCGAACGCGAAAGAUUGGACCGUACAGAUCAGGAAUCCAAACAGUUACUUCUAGAUUCAAUGGAUUCGGUCAAUAAAGCCCGCGCUGCAAAACAUUAGAGCGCAGUAAGAAAACUCAA